ensembl:lncRNA
AUGUUUUUACUUUCAAACAAUCCUUCAGAAGCACAGUUAGGUGUGUUUUUUUUUUUUCAAACAAAGGCAGUUGAAUGUGUUCCCAUUUCCCUUUUCAAAACCCAUUCUUUAGAUCAAGAAUUGCUUCCUUUUCUUAACAAAGAUAUUUACAGAGCUGUGGACUUUUUUUAGUCAUCCACAUCAAAUUAUUACCAUAGAAGUUGCAAAGGGAGUUUCUAAAUCUGCUGUGAGUAUUUGAUUUACAGUAAUCGUUCCAGUAUUUCUAGUGAUGCUUUGCUGGGGAGGGAUUUUUAAGUUUCCUUAAUAAUUGGUUUACACACCUUUAACAAAAUUUAUUAAUAUGUUACAUUUGUAUUGAAUACCCUUGACGUUUAUGGACUUAAUAUAAGUGAUUUCAACUAUGUGAAAAUGAUCUGAUAUCUAUGACAUGGUUUGAUUUGUUUUUGCUGAGGUAAAAUAUUCAAACUGAGCACACAGACAAGCUGGUGUGCUGAGUACAAGUCAUCAUCUCAAUGCACAUUAUUCACUGAAUAUAUGGUAAUUUCUCUGCAGUAAUUUAAACCUUUGUCUUUUUGUGAAAAAAUGACUAUAAAUCACAGAAAAAUCUUCAAUUAAGUUUAAAACAUUAGCGUAGAUUGUGAGUGCAUGCAAAAAGAAAACCAAAGUGAAAUAUGAUUCCAGAUGAACUCAAGAGUCUUUACAAACUAGCAUUCACAAAGUGAGGAUUUCUGAAAGUAAUGAUAAUACCACCCAGAAUUUUAAGGGUUUAUUUCAGGAAUGGAAGGCAUGAUUCAACUCUAAUAUCAACUCUGACUGACUUAUGAGGUUGUCCACUUAUUUUAUCAUGUCUUAAUUUGUAAUUGUUUGUAUGUAUCCUUGCCUUUUCCCCUAUCAUCAUGCAAAAAUAAAUUGCAAAAUCAAUGUAGAAGCUAUUAUCAUUUGGUUAUCCAACCUCCAUUUCUUUUCUUCUCGCUGCCUAAGAGAAUAGCAGUUUUCUUUAUCUAGUCUCCGCUAAACAUUAUGUUUUUUCAUGUGGUAGUGGGGAUAAUGAUUAUUCUAAGCCAAUACCUGGCAUGCCUCCUAGAACGUAUUCUUAGCCUAGAGCAUCCAUAUUCAAUUGGCCCCACUAAAUGAAAGAUAAAGGCUUAUUUUCAAUAAUCAGAACUUUUUCUCUCUGUAUUUUUGUGCUCUUGUCUUCUCCCCGUUCAGUUUCUCUUGCUCCAUAGCUCCCCUAAAUUGUCCUUCCUUAUUCACAUAUUCACUGAUGAAUAGUAGUAGCUAACAACAAGAGAAGUUAUAGGCCUAAUUGUCCUACUAACCAUUUGUAACCAAAACAGGAACCUGCUUUAGAGUAGAGAUCUGUUGAAGAUAUCAGGAUAAAUACUACCAAGAAUACCAAAUAUUUUCAGUGUCAUAAUUAACUUGCGUAUCGAAUUGCACCAAAAAACUGGUCUCUUUAAAACUCCAUUUAUGUGAAAUGAUACAUUUUAAAAAAUACAUUUGACCCCAAAUAGUAUUUUUGUUUGUAGCAGACAAAAGUUUCCUACUUAAUAUACUCAGUGAAGAUAGGAACUUUCUUUUCAUUUUGAGGGCACUUGUAUCUAGACCAAUGUUUUACAUUAAAAAUACAUUUGUAUAUAAGUUUGAAAUCUCUGUAAAUCUUAAUUUGGGUACAUUAGUUUCUUUAUGAAUAAACGUACCUCUUCCACCAUGCCUGCAGCACAUUACUUCUCCAUUCCUACUACUUUACAAUAAUCCUCUUGACCAGUCCUCCAAAAUAUCCAGAACAUUUUGAGACAUAUUAAUUUUAAAUGUGUAUAAACAAAGCUUCACAAGGUUAAGAAAUUUAGCCAAAACUUAAUUACAAAUGUGAAAAAAAAGCAUUUUGACCAUAAAGUGACACAUUGAACUGUUGAUUUUCAUUGUGGUUUUAUUCAAGAAAUAUCCAAGAAACCUAUAAAUCUUUUCAAUUCAAUUAAACAACUAAUUAAUUCACUGGAGAAAAACAUUAUACCACUUAUUUGACUGGAUUGAUCAGCCAGUUUGAUUGAAAUAGCAAAUUCACCAUUCUCAUGGAGAUAAAGUUGGCUGGACAUUUUUUCCCAAUUAAUAAAAGGAGAGGGUUUCACAAAAAUCAAUUGAAUCACUUACUCUUAUGUAGUGGAGAUGCAGCCUGAUUUAGUAUUUGAACACUGUUGCCACGCUUUCAAGCAUGGUAAAACCGAAAGGCUUCUGAACGAGAAGAUAAAGAAACUGGACUAAGGAGAAAAUGGUUGAGACCUAAAUUUGAUGAAAAGAAAGCUUCUUACACACUCAGGGAAGUUGUAUAGGCGGGUCUUGUUUAUGUGAAGAAGAACCUUCCCAAGGUUCUUUUCUAGAUGAAGACUAGGAAAGGUUUCAUCAUAGAAGUCCAAGAAGGACUGGUGCACAGCAGUCAUGGAAGGUAUUCAGUAGUCACGUAAAUAAUACUUCAUGGUUGUAGAAAGAAUUAAGAUUUGAAGUAGAAAAAAAAUGCUGAUAUCUGGAAGCAGAACAUAAGAGAUUGGGGACAAACAGCUGAUGAAGAUGCUUUUAACAAUAUGGACAUAAGAAAGACCUGUGUGGUAUUUUAACAUGUUCCAGAUGUUUUAUCAUUUUACAUAUUAAGGGCUUCCCUUGUGACUCAGCUGCUAAAGAAUCCGCCUGCAAUGUGGGAGACUUGGGUUCAAUCCCUGGGUUGGGAAGAUCCUCUGAAGAAGGGAAAGGCUACCCACUCUAGUAGUCUGGCCUGGAGAAUUCCAUGGACUGUAUAGUCCAUGGGGUCACAAAGAGUCAGACACGACUGAGCAACUUUCACUUUUCACUAAUCUUUUUCUAGUACUUGGUUCUCAUUCAAACCCCACUUUUCAGAUGUUUUCCAUCUCUCCUCAUUUCUCCUUCUCGACAGGUUCUCGUGAAGAGGUAUUCUUAAGUUCCAAAGCUGGCUCUCUAUCUUCCUGUCCCUUUUGUUCUGUUGCA